AGUGCCUACGGGGGCAGCAGUGGGGAAUAUUGCACAAUGGGGGAAACCCUGAUGCAGCAACGCCGCGUGGGUGAAGGAGCGUUUCGGCGCGUAAAGCCCUGUCAGCGGGGAAGAAGAAAGACGGUACCCGACCAAGAAGCCUCGGCUAAAUACGUGCCAGCAGCCGCGGUAAUACGUAUGGAGCAAGCGUUAUCCGGAAUUACUGGGUGUAAAGGGAGCGUAGGCGGCAAGGCAAGUCUGAUGUGAAAAACCAGGGCCCAACAC
rnacentral:rRNA from 1 species